GAGCGGACAGAUGGGAGCUUGCUCCCUGAUGUUAGCGGCGGACGGGUGAGUAACACGUGGGUAACCUGCCUGUAAGACUGGGAUAACUCCGGGAAACCGGGGCUAAUACCGGAUGGUUGUUUGAACCGCAUGGUUCAGACAUAAAAGGUGGCUUCGGCUACCACUUACAGAUGGACCCGCGGCGCAUUAGCUAGUUGGUGAGGUAACGGCUCACCAAGGCGACGAUGCGUAGCCGACCUGAGAGGGUGAUCGGCCACACUGGGACUGAGACACGGCCCAGACUCCUACGGGAGGCAGCAGUAGGGAAUCUUCCGCAAUGGACGAAAGUCUGACGGAGCAACGCCGCGUGAGUGAUGAAGGUUUUCGGAUCGUAAAGCUCUGUUGUUAGGGAAGAACAAGUGCCGUUCAAAUAGGGCGGCACCUUGACGGUACCUAACCAGAAAGCCACGGCUAACUACGUGCCAGCAGCCGCGGUAAUACGUAGGUGGCAAGCGUUGUCCGGAAUUAUUGGGCGUAAAGGGCUCGCAGGCGGUUUCUUAAGUCUGAUGUGAAAGCCCCCGGCUCAACCGGGGAGGGUCAUUGGAAACUGGGGAACUUGAGUGCAGAAGAGGAGAGUGGAAUUCCACGUGUAGCGGUGAAAUGCGUAGAGAUGUGGAGGAACACCAGGUGGCGAAGGCGACUCUCUGGUCUGUAACUGACGCUGAGGAGCGAAAGCGUGGGGAGCGAACAGGAUUAGAUACCCUGGUAGUCCACGCCGUAACGAUGAGUGCUAAGUGUUAGGGGGUUUUCCGCC
rnacentral:rRNA from 1 species